rnacentral:pre_miRNA from 1 species
CCGGACAAGAGUCUUUCACCGGCCGUGCCCAUUUUCGAACGAUUUUCCAGUUUCUCGGCGGCGGAGGAUCUUACUUCUUUUUUUUUAUUGAGAUUCCGUUUUCGAGAGACGGGAAUGUCUAAACAAAACAGGUCGGUGGGACUUUCGUCCGUGU